CACGGUAAACGAUGGAUGCCCGCUGUGUGCCAUUGCGGUACGCGGCCAAGCGAAAGCGUUAAGCGUCCCACCUGGGGAGUACGCCGGCAACGGUGAAACUCAAAGGAAUUGACGGGGGCCCGCACAAGCGGAGGAACAUGUGGUUUAAUUCGAUGAUACGCGAGGAACCUUACCCGGGCUUGAACUGCAGGAGGAGGAUACAGAGAUGUUGACGCCCUUCGGGGCUCCUGUGGAGGUGCUGCAUGGUUGUCGUCAGCUCGUGCCGUGAGGUGUCGGCUUAAGUGCCAUAACGAGCGCAACCCCUCUCUUCAGUUGCCAUCGGGUUAUGCCGGGCACUCUGGAGACACUGCCGCCGUAAGGUGCGAGGAAGGUGGGGAUGACGUCAAAUCAGCACGGCCCUUACGUCCGGGGCUACACACGUGUUACAAUGGCGCGUACAGAGGGCAGGCGGCCGGCAACGUCCGUCGAAUCCCGAAAUCGCGCCGUAGUUCGGAUUGGGGUCUGCAACCCGACC
rnacentral:rRNA from 1 species